rnacentral:rRNA from 1 species
UACAGAGGUCCCAAGCGUUGUUCGGAUUCACUGGGCGUAAAGGGUGCGUAGGCGGUCGGGUAAGUCUGAUGUGAAAUCUCACAGCUUAACCGGGGAACUGCGUCUGAUACUGGAUGGCUUGAGGUUGGGAGAGGGAUGCGGAAUUCCAGGUGUAGCGGUGAAAUGCGUAGAUAUCUGGAGGAACACCGGUGGCGAAGGCGGCAUCCUGGACCAAUUCUGACGCUGAGGAGCGAAAGCCAGGGGAGCAAACGGG